rnacentral:rRNA from 1 species
GGAAUAUUGGUCAAUGGGGGCAACCCUGAACCAGCCAUGCCGCGUGCAGGAAGACGGCCCUCCGGGUUGUAAACUGCUUUUAUUCGGGAAUAAACCUUUCUACGUGUAGGAAGCUGAAUGUACCGAAGGAAUAAGGAUCGGCUAACUCCGUGCCAGCAGCCGCGGUAAUACGGAGGAUCCAAGCGUUAUCCGGAUUUAUUGGGUUUAAAGGGUGCGUAGGCGGCCUGUUAAGUCAGGGGUGAAAGACGGUAGCUCAACUAUCGUAGUGCCCUUGAUACUGACGGGCUUGAAUGGACUAGAGGUAGGCGGAAUGUGACAAGUAGCGGUGAAAUGCAUAGAUAUGUCACAGAACACCGAUUGCGAAGGCAGCUUACUAUGGUUUUAUUGACGCUGAGGCACGAAAGCGUGGGGAUCAAACAGGAUUAGAUACCCUUG